AGGAGAUGUUCCUCCUGGCUGUGCUGCCUAUGGCUUUGUAGUAGAUGGUACACGAAUAUUGGUAUUUGGUGGCAUGGUGGAGUAUGGGAAAUAUUCUAACGAACUUUAUGAAUUACAGGCUUCACGUUGGGAAUGGAGGCAUUUAGAACCUAUUACAAGGGACAGUUCAAUACUAC